ACAGUGCAGACACUCGCAACGCAGAACAAGGGCUCGAGCAGGCACUCAUUACCAACACAACGAUUGAUACCCUCCCAAAAGAGUUAUUUGGACAGUCAACAUAAUGUUUAUCUGUGAAGUCUUUAGAUUUGUCUGUCUACAACCUCUCGGACUUAAGGCGUUUUACUAAAAAACAAAAAUAGGUCAAUGAAAACAUAGCUGGCAACAAUUUUUGUCCAUUGGUCCAUAACGAGUCGGCAUAGUUUUGUAGGCAAAAUACCCCGCAUGUACAAACUCAAUACCACAAUGUCCUCAAUCUGAAGUCACUGGACAAUCUAGAUAUUUGCCAGAUACACUUUUGUCUUGGUAGCGUGAUUUCGCGGCUCGGAAAAGCAAGGUAAAGGACACCCCAACUUCAGGACUAGAGUUGAGGUUUGGCCUUGUUGAAGACAUUCUUAAGAAUGUUUCAGCACAGUGGCAGACGGGGACAAGCAAGUGGACGCAAAUAAGUGCGCACUAACGCUUUCGUGUGUCCACCAGCUUAUUCCUGUUCCUCAAUUCGCUGAAACGCUCUUAAGUAAUGAAACUUCAGCCCACAUUAAAGCUUCAAGGUAAUGAAUGUUCGAAGUCAUGGUCUAGCAACUACAUAUUUGUUAUCAGUGGAAUAUUCCUUCCUGUCUUCACGGAGUGUGUAGAGCUAGAGAGAUAAAUUAGACGCGAAAGGCAGGGAGGGUAAACGGAAGAUAAAUAUCCAGUUUGUUACCUUGCAGUGUGGAAGGGGUAGGGAGCAUAGAAAGAUGAAGAAAAACAGAGAAAGAGAGAGAACACAUGGAGUAUAUUUUGCUAUUAGCCUCAUAUGGCUUCCUUUCUAUAUAUAUAAUCGUUAUACGCUUUUAUAACAGGCAUCACACGUUGGUUUCCUAGCAUACACCCACUUUUAUUUCCCCGUGAAAGGCGAAGGUGCCCAAUUUGAGAAUUUGGCGCAGUUUCUGUGGUGUCUAUUUCUAUCAAAACACCCCGGCAUUCCCUUUCAGCAUCCAGUUAGGUCACAAAUUUCUGCAUUCUCAUUGGGCUUUGCCUUCCUCAAUACAUCGUUACAGAUUCAAGAGGAGGCUGCUAUUUAUGUUUUUAGCAAGCAGUGCAUUCUUUGAACCCGCCGUACUAUCCUAUAACGUCGUUAACAUAACCACUUCAAUCCGUCAAGAUGUAACUCAUAGUAAAUGCGUAAAGUUCAAAUUUAGAAGAGCCCCAUGUUUAUAACCUUAAGUGUUUCAGUACUUCUGUGAAAAUUAUAUUGCCUACGCGUUACCUUUUAUGUAUCAUUUCCAACUGAAACAGCAUGAGUAGUACACCUUGAAAGCAAGUAUUUGUGCUUAGCCAUGCUUAUUAGGCAUAGGGAAAUUACUGUUACAUUUUGUCCUCAGAUAUGACGUGCUUUUGAAGUUCGUAACAAACGCUUGCAAUUUUUGCAGUAAUGCAUGGAGUAAUUUUUAACAAAGCAAACUACCAGCCCGGACAUUUGCCUAUAUAUUUUUGCUUCUGUGAUAGAUUACCCACUGCAGUGUAAGAAUAUCUCGUAAUGUUUCUCUAUAGUACAUCUGUCAGUUGUUAAAAUGCGCUCAAUAGGCGUGCUGUCAAAACACGAUGUCUUGAAAUGGUCUGUAAUGGUUCAAUGUAAGCGAUUGUGCCUGCAGUGUUUGCAGCAAUUCCUACGACUUGUCUCAUGGCAAAAUAUAAAGAGAUAUGAUACUAUAUCAAUGACUCAAAAGUUGCAGUUCAUAAAUUUGUCGAAUGAGGCAGACAUUGUUCUGUAUUCACGACAAAGAUUGUUGACCUAUCAUUUUGACUACCUGCAUAACCAUUGACAUGUAUUUUCUGAUUACCAUGAUCUUCAAAAAUACCCUUUUUCGUUUGGACAUUAGUGAAAGGUGUCUGCAGUAUAUUUUGUAAAUGAAUAAAUUCAAUCCUUAUUAUUAUAAAACAAUAUUUAUUCCACUGGACCACCCAUUUUUACAGAUAAAAAAUUUAAAGCAUAUUGUAUACUAACGCAGAAUUUUCAUGACUGUGCGGCAGUAUAACGGGUGCUAGUGAACCUACAUGUGUCUAAUUCUUUACAGCUGUAACCUCAGAGAAAGCGAAGAAAAGUAUCACGCAAGAACAGGCAAACCUGACGUGUCACACAAAAGGGUGGAGGUGCUGCUGCAUUGUUCUUCAUGCAGCUUGCGUGUUCACAGCAAAUGGGGUACCAGACACAAUAAAGAGAACAGCGCAAUGACAAGGCACGCUGGUAGACUCAGUGAACAGAUGUGCUGGUGCUGAAGAAAUUUAGAGCUUGCUCAAUCCUCGAACGUUUCUAAAAGGACCCCAAAGGCCAUUAAAAUACUUCAGGAAUAAAUACAUCUUACAGCUUCAUUCAAAAGGUGUACCGUUAUCGUUGUCAGAAAGAACUCAACGCCAGCUCUUGGAAACCUCGAAUGUGGCGUUUCAGGUGGGAAGCUAAAAUGAGCUGUUCUUCGACUUCAUAGAGUUGUACUCGGCCUAUUUGACGAGCUUUGGCUAGAAAAAAAAAAAACCUUCGAGGAUUUGCACUGCUGCUCAGCAAUUGCCAACCGUGAGCGAACCGUUCCCAAGUUUCCGGUAAUGCGUUCCAAACAUCAAAUGCAAGGUGAGGGAAGAGACGAAGAUUUUAAGGAAGUGGAAAAGACGAAAUGCCUGCAGAGAUUGUUCUGUGCACAUGGUGUGCCAUUCCUGCAUGUGCAAAAACACACUGAUGUAAGAAAUAGCGGCCACGUGUGGAGCGACUGUGGGCAAAAGUAUUUUUUUCCCGUGACAAACACUAUUAGCACGCUGUUGCCAGACAGCCUUGAGAAAGAAAGACAGAGAUAGACUGUGAAUAGCAAUUGCCGUGUGCGCUGGCUUUCUGAGCAACACAGAACUAUCGCAACUUAUUAGUGAACAGUUAAUAACAUUUCAUGAACGUUAUGCUAAGGUCACACAGAAAAGAGGAGAUCGCGGGUAAAGAAGAUGGAGACGGUUAGAAGCAGUAUUCACGACCCUUGUGCCUAAUGUAUAACCUAGAAGUUUAACAGUAAACGUGCUACGACUCGUCAGCGCCUCUGAAAGCCAAGUGGCUGGCAAUCGGCGAUAGGCGUACCACACUGACAAAGGCCGUAUUAUAAAUCUGCUUUCAGUGAUGCUAUAUCGGUAAUUGAAACCUAAGGAUGAUUUCGGUCUUUGCAUUGUGCAGAAUGCCAGCGCACAGUUCAUACCACAGAAGAGACAGGUGUAAGUGCAACAGCCGGGCAGCGGGCAGACGGACAGUCAUAAGGUGGGUUGAGCAUUUCCUGGCCUUGCUGCAACAUUGCUUUCACUUGACAGAGAUAUUUCUUCAGAACUCACACAGGGAUCAGCAUCGCCUAUAUCACAUCGCACGCAUCGUUCCAAGUUCGGGUGUAACAAGCUGCGCUAUAUAAAAAUAUUGUGUCAAGAUUUAUUGAUCUCUGAGCUAUUGAAAAACGGAUUGGGUUUUACAGUGGCAGCGCGGUGCGAAAACGAGACUUCAGCCAAUCUUACAAUAUCUUACAUUGGG